AGGAAACAUACCGGCUAUAAAUAGAGAGCUUGGGCUUCUCACCCAACAAUAACCCUCUAAUCAGAAGAAGAAAGAAGAAAGUAACAACAGCCAUGGCCAAAAGCAGUUCAAUUUUCUUCUCCUUGUUCAUUUGCUUCAUCCUCAUUUCCUUUGUCACCUUUGCUCCAUCGGCUGAAUCACAAGCUCAAUCUUGCGAUUACGGCCAAGCUCAAGCGAUAGCACGAGACAACUGCAAGGGUCAAGAUACAAGUUUCUGUCAGGCGAAAUGUCAAGGCUUGUCAACCGCAUUAGUACUUGGUGGUUGGGGGUGCGAGGAAAAUGCUUUAGAUGCAACCAACUCUUACUGUGUCUGUUGCUAUGAGCUUGAUAUUUGUGACAGUGGUUCUUGGUUUUCAUCCAAACUUCUCUUUAAAGGCCUCAGGCAGUAAGAUCAAAAUCAGUUGAUCUAGUCUAGUUGCCCCUAGCUAGCUCAAUAGUCGUUUAGCACUAGGGCUAAAUAAUGCAUCGAUCGCAACCAUUUCUGGUGUCUUAUGUAUCACUGGUUUAGAUGUUGGUAUGGUAUUUGGAUUGUCACCGAAUUAAGUUACGGAUUAGGGGUUUGGGUGCAAUCAUCAGUCUGUUGUUUCAUUUAUAAAAGAUUAUCUAAUGAAAAGCGGGAAAUCCUUUAUUUGUUAUUGUA